GGAUGAUGAUGAUGAUGAUAAUGAUGAUGAUGUUGAUGAUGAUGAUGAAGAUGAUGAUCAUCAUCAUCAUCAUGAUCAUGAUGAUCAUGAUGAUCA
rnacentral:pre_miRNA from 1 species